AGUGGGGAAUAUUGCACAAUGGGCGCAAGCCUGAUGCAGCCAUGCCGCGUGUGUGAAGAAGGCCUUAGGGUUGUAAAGCACUUUCAGUCGUGAGGAAAGGUGUGUGCUUAAUACGUACAUACUGUGACGUUAGCGACAGAAGAAGGACCGGCUAACUCCGUGCCAGCAGCCGCGGUAAUACGGAGGGUCCGAGCGUUAAUCGGAAUUACUGGGCGUAAAGCGCGCGUAGGUGGAUUGGUCAGUCAGAUGUGAAAGCCCAGGGCUCAACCUUGGAACUGCAUCUGAUACUGCUAGUCUAGAAUACAGUAGAGGGUAGUGGAAUUUCCUGUGUAGCGGUGAAAUGCGUAGAUAUAGGAAGGAACACCAGUGGCGAAGGCGACUACCUGGACUGAUAUUGACACUGAGGUGCGAAAGCGUGGGGAGCAAACAGGAUUAGAUACCCUGGUAGUCCACGCCGUAAACGAUGUCUACUAGCCGUUGGAAGACUUGAUCUUUUAGUGGCGAAGCUAACGCGAUAAGUAGACCGCCUGGGGAGUACGGCCGCAAGGUUAAAACUCAAAUGAAUUGACGGGGGCCCGCACAAGCGGUGGAGCAUGUGGUUUAAUUCGACGCAACGCGAAGAACCUUACCAACUCUUGACAUCCAGAGAAGAGGCUAGAGAUAGCUUUGUGCCUUCGGGAGCUCUGAGACAGGUGCUGCAUGGCUGUCGUCAGCUCGUGUUGUGAAAUGUUGGGUUAAGUCCCGUAACGAGCGCAACCCUUGUCCUUAUUUGCCAGCACGUAAUGGUGGGAACUCUAAGGAGACUGCCGGUGACAAACCGGAGGAAGGUGGGGACGACGUCAAGUCAUCAUGGCCCUUACGAGUUGGGCUACACACGUGCUACAAUGGCCGGUACAGAGGGCUGCAAACCUGCGAAGGUAAGCUAAUCUCACAAAACCGGUCGUAGUCCGGAUUGGAGUCUGCAACUCGACUCCAUGAAGUCGGAAUCGCUAGUAAUCGUGGAUCAGAAUGCCACGGUGAAUACGU
rnacentral:rRNA from 1 species